GGGCUCGCUCCGGCAGUACAUAAAGCAAACUUGGAAUGAUACAGAGAAGACUAGCAUGGCCUCUAUGCAAGGAUGACACGCAGGUUCGUGAAGCAGUCUCCCAGUGA
ensembl:snRNA U6 U6 spliceosomal RNA